rnacentral:rRNA from 1 species
UGGGGAAUAUUGCACAAUGGGCGCAAGCCUGAUGCAGCCAUGCCGCGUGUAUGAAGAAGGCCUUCGGGUUGUAAAGUACUUUCAGCGGGGAGGAAGGGAGUAAAGUUAAUACCUUUGCUCAUUGACGUUACCCGCAGAAGAAGCACCGGCUAACUCCGUGCCAGCAGCCGCGGUAAUACGGAGGGUGCAAGCGUUAAUCGGAAUUACUGGGCGUAAAGCGCACGCAGGCGGGCUGUCAAGUCGGAUGUGAAAUCCCCGGGAUCAACCUGGGAACUGCAUUCGAAACUGGCAGGCUAGAGUCUUGUAGAGGGGGGGAGAAUUCCAGGUGUAGCGGUGAAAUGCGUAGAGAUCUGGAGGAAUACCGGUGGCGAAGGCGGCCCCCUGGACAAAGACUGACGCUCAGGUGCGAAAGCGUGGGGAGCAAACAGG